AAUUAAAUACAGGUAGUUGGGAGCAGGGGGAAAAUUCAAACAGGUAUCUUCUUAUUUGUUCUCUCAUUUCAGUGUGGUUGAGCAGUUGACUUGGUUUCCCUAAUCAGCUCUGCUUCGAUUUCCAACUUACAUGAUAUGUAUUCAUAAAUUUGGACCCUCUGGGAAACACGUGACUACUGCUGUGUUAGAAUCGCACACUGGUUUGUUAAUGAAAGGCGACAGAGCAGUGCCAUCCCUGCAGGUAAAGCUCCAUGACUUGGCUUAGCCAACCUAUGAAGCUAGAACCAAGCAGUCCUUUCAAAGCUGAGAGAUGUGGGAAAAGACACAACCUCACUGCAGAGAAGCUCUUCUGCCAAACCUUCUGUCACAGCACCACUCUUGGGAUGCUACCAGGUUCUGCGCAGUUCAGUGCGCACGUGUGUGCACAUGCAUGGUAUAUAUUUAUGUAUAUGCAUGUGUAUACACUCCCACCCCCACCCCAAAUAGGUGGAUGGAUGGAAGGGGAAAAAUAAAAAGGUUGGAAGACAGAUGUGUUGGACCUGAC
rnacentral:lncRNA from 1 species